ensembl:rRNA 5S_rRNA 5S ribosomal RNA
GUUUAUGGCCAGACCACUGUGAACACCGAUUUUGUCUGAUCUCAGAAGCGAAGCCGGGUCGGGCCCGGUUAGUACCCCGCCUCUCGCUGGUGACAGCUGGAGAUUGGCACCAGAACCC